rnacentral:rRNA from 1 species
UACGAAGGGGGUUAGCGUUGCUCGGAAUUACUGGGCGUAAAGCGCGCGUAGGCGGGUCGUUAAGUCGGGGGUGAAAUCCUGGAGCUCAACUCCAGAACUGCCUUUGAUACUGCAAAUCUCGAGUCCGGAAGAGGUGAGUGGAAUUCCUAGUGUAGAGGUGAAAUUCGUAGAUAUUAGGAAGAACACCAGUGGCGAAGGCGGCUCACUGGUCCGGUACUGACGCUGAGGUGCGAAAGCGUGGGGAGCAAACAGG